CGGAUCACCGUGGUUCUUGCGGCUCCCGGGCGUGGCCAUUUACAACCCGCCUCGCACCUGCUAGAGGUCCAAUCCAACAAUGUCUCCAAAUGGGGUGUCAGGGUUGAAGAUGGCCUGCAGCACUGCCUGAUCAUUUGGAGUCCCCAUGGUGCUCAACUCCAAAAUCCCAAAAGAAAAGACCCCGGCCAUGGAUGGGAGACCUAGGACAAAGAUGGAAAAGAGUGCUUGGCACCAGACAGCUGCUCAAUGAGGAACACAACUGCAUCAUGGAGAAUCCCCAGCAUCCUCAAACCGUUAACACCUAGAAGAAUCAGAAGCACCAGGGAAGUGAGGAGCGCAGUCAACAGGAAACAGCAUGGUCCUACAGAAAUGCCUAUGCUAUAGUCACUCUGCCAGAGGCUGCUCCAGGGUGAAUUAUAGUAC
ensembl:lncRNA TTC36-AS1 TTC36 and KMT2A antisense RNA 1